rnacentral:lncRNA from 1 species
CUGAAGCACGCUUUAGUCUAUCCAUGAGAAGUUGUUGUCGUCCUCCUCGCUGCCACCGCCAGAGCCGAAACUUGGUGGUAAGCCUCUUCUCCCCCUCCGAGUUCUUCCGCUUUGCUUUGGACGAUAUAUGUUCAUGUCAUUAUUGUUCAUUAAUAUCUUCUAUUGUUCUAGCUGAUAAUCUUGACUUUUCCGGUGUUCAUGGAGGUAGCUAAGGUAUACCUAUUAUGUAGUCGACGAGGAGGCUUACCUAUGAUGCCCGUGCAAUUGAAAUGUUUGUAGGCCAGCCUGUGAUGUUAAGUUGGAGGCUUACUUAUGAUGUUAGGUUGUUGUACACGGAAAUUUUGUGGGAUAGUUUGCAGAUUGGGAGUUAUGUUUUUUUGGUUGGUUUUUUAGAUUGUUGUAGUUAAAAUAUGAGAUGGAAGGCACACAUUGAAUACCGAGCUAUGUUACAAAUUUAUAGAUGGCCAGUCUAUAGAUUAUAGGUAUGAGUGGACUAAGUGAGAAAAUACAUGAUUGUAGGUUGCUAAUUAUGCGUCUGUGUUCAUGUGUGCGUGUUGUUAUUACUGGAAGAGGUGGAUUAGGGUGCACUGUUGAAGCAUUUUGAUUGCCCCGAGAGAAAUGAGUACACUGCAACAAACAACGGUUUGCUUACUAACCUCAUAAAUAUUUCAAGUGUAAGUCUCUAACUACAUGAAUAUUGGUGUGCAUGGAGCAUUUUAUUUCAAGUGUAAGUCUCUAACUAUUCAGCAUUCACAACAUGGAGCAUUUUAUGGAUUAUGAUUCUCCGAGUACAGCUACAUUUAGUUCCCACUACUUGUAACAACCAGGCUGGACUGUUUUGUGUUGACUGCUGUCAAAUACAUGAACCUGAAUGCUCAUAUAUGCUUUGUAUUUAAUGUAUACUUGUGUAGAAAAAUAAAGUGGGUCUUCAACUGUUCAAGACAGUUAUGGCUAAUGCUAGCUUCAAAAUGAGUCCCAGGCUUAACUGUUAAUGUGCAAGCAAAAUAGUAAUAAUUACUCAUGCACUUAGAGUAAUCUAUUCU